GAAGCAGUUUAUGAAAAUAGUUUCCUUUUCAAGAUAUAGGAACUGAUGUCUUUGCAAAAUAUACACACCCACAAUUGUUACAAUACAUAUCCUUGUAUAUAACUCGGACAUUAUAAAAGUGUUUAAGAAUCACACCCUGUAAAAGUCAGGAGAAGAAACAUUUUCUCCAACUUUGGUCAUAUAUUGUGACAUUCAAGCACUUAAACCACUUUGUUGAAAUGUACAGGCCCAGAGGGAUGUAACUUUCAAGGUCUCAUAGGUUCUUUUAUUGUGCAAGGUAGAGAACCAGGAGAGGCAUCCCUAAGAGUUUAUUAACCUUAGAUAUCUCAAGCAGUGGUUUAUUUUCCAUACUUUACCGUGGAAAUAAAGGAGGGAUAAAUAAGACCAUGGAAACCCAUCUUGGGCAGGUCCCCUCCCUAGCAUCCCUAACCAUGGAGUAUGUCUCCUACAAGAGGAUUUCUAACCUUUGAGCCUUAAAAAGCUCCAAGUCUAUAAUUAUCUAACAUACUUGCAAAAUGAUGGUUCUGCAACUUUAAACUUGAAUACUGCAGAAUAGGCUAAAGUUAUAAUAAUAGUGUGACUCUCCUAAAUAGACUUCAUUUAGGAUUUGUCUGGUGGGAAGCAUUUGGGAAGAUCAGCAAGCCAAAAAUUUCCUCCGGGAACUACUGGAAAAGAUCGUUUCUCACCAUGGCAUAAACCUUGGAAGCCAAGUUCUUUCUUACUUUGGCAGAUUUAUGAUGAAACAAUGGGAAAGAGCCUAUAAGCAUUCAAAUCUGUAGGCUUAAAAUAACAGAUGCUAGGUCUGAUACAGUAAGAGCUGAAGCCC
rnacentral:lncRNA from 1 species